rnacentral:rRNA from 1 species
UGAACGCUGGCGGCGUGCCUAAUACAUGCAAGUCGAGCGAACAGACGCGGAGCUUGCUCCUCUGACGUUAGCGGCGGACGGGUGAGUAACACGUGGAUAACCUACCUAUAAGACUGGGAUAACUUCGGGAAACCGGAGCUAAUACCGGAUAAUAUAUUGAACCGCAUGGUUCACUAGUGAAAGACGGUUUUGCUGUCACUUAUAGAUGGAUCCGCGCCGCAUUAGCUAGUUGGUAAGGUAACGGCUUACCAAGGCAACGAUGCGUAGCCGACCUGAGAGGGUGAUCGGCCACACUGGAACUGAGACACGGUCCAGACUCCUACGGGAGGCAGCAGUAGGGAAUCUUCCGCAAUGGGCGAAAGCUUGACGGAGCAACGCCGCGUGAGUGAUGAAGGUCUUCGGAUCGUAAAACUCUGUUAUUAGGGAAGAACAAAUGUGUAAGUAACUAUGCACGUCUUGACGGUACCUAAUCAGAAAGCCACGGCUAACUACGUG